CCGGCUGAGGGCUGCUGCUGUUUGCUGGCUGGCUGACUGCUGAGCAGUCGUCAGUCAGUUGGCCAAGAAACUGGUAGCGUCGGUGUUGUGAGCCAACAAAAGGCUGGCAACUGGCAAUUGGCAACUGGCAGCUGGGCAGUUGGCUGCUGCUGGCUGCUUGCUUGCUUGCUUGGCACCGGCAACCAAAAGAAAGCACCGUGCGAAUACACAAAAUCAAAAUGUGUGUGUUGGCCACAGGGCACGGCAUUAGCUUUGGCUAUAGCUAUGGCUAUGGCUUUGGCUCUGUUUGACUGUUUUGAGCGACGCGUAGCCAGCCAAGAAAAGUGGCCAGCAGUAGCAGCAGCAGCCGAGUCCGUCAGGAAGCCAGCCAAAAGCCAUUGCCAGCGAGCCAGCCAGCCAACAACCAAGUAGCAGCAACAGCAAUUACUGCUGGCCAACAAGGUGGUGAUGGUGAAGGUCCAAGAUGAUGAUGAUGAUGACGACACAGCGACAGCAACUGCUGCCAAGCAGCAACGCAGGAUGUGAUGACAGACGACGAGAAGAAGGAGGCACAUUUUGUUUUUGGCCGCCAAACGCAGUUUGAUUAGCCAAGUCAAACACAACAAAUGCGCUGACCCAAGAUCAGCCCAGAAUGGAUGCCAAUUGACAGCUACAACACACACACACACACACGGGCAGUUGUGGACAUGCAGUGGCGCAGCGGAGCAGCAGCAGCAAACAAGAACCGCAGUCGGAGCUGCGCCGCAGGAUGCGUUCGUCUCGAUUAUACAGCAUAAAAAACAAUUAAACAAACAAAAACAAAAUACGUGUCGCGCUGCAACAACAACAACCAACAUCGCGCUGUGUGCGCCACAAGUGCAAGUGUGUGUGUGUGUGUUUGUGUGAAGUGUGUGAUUGUGCGACAACCUUUUGAACUGACCAACGUGCGCCGCCAACUCGGGCAGCCAAUAAAAACAAAAAAAAAACACGAAAAGCUGCGCCAAUGGAGCAACUGGCGAAGCGCCCAAAACAGCAACAACAACAACAACAAUAGUCGUAGUAAUAGCCAAGUCCAUAACCAUUGUUUCAAACUGGCCAACUAAUGAUUUGUCAGCCAUGUCAGAGCCAUGGCGCAAAUUGGCCCCGCAAGCAAAAGGCAAAGGCAAACGCGUGCGAAACCUCAAAGGAUGCGCAUCAAGCGAACAUUGCGCAUACGCCGCGUGCAACACCCAUUCAAAAAUAACCAACUUCUACUUAAUACAACGUAGUGUAUAAUAACAAUACCACUUGAUUACAAUACUUCAAACUUAAUACAACUAGUGUUUAGUGCUUACAACAAAAAAAUAAAAAAAAAAACAAUGAGAAAAAUACAACAAAAAAAUAUGUAGCAAACGUAGCGUUUACUUCAAAGCAACUUAUAUAACCACAGAACUAUGAUAUAAUAUCCCCCCAACUUAUAAACAUUAGUGCAAUAUAUAAAUAUAUUGGUAAUUGUACUUGAUCGUGAUUAACGUUUAGUUCAACUACUUGGUAAAUGAAAGCACUCGUAGACAAUUCUUAAUAACAAAACAAAACAAAAGAAAACAACCAAACCGAAAAUGAUCGUCAGAUUGAGUUUUACGCGUCGCUGGCAAAAACGUUGCGGACCUUUCAAUGAAUGGUGAUGACAGCUCGUGGAAAUGGAAAUCGUGCGAGGAAAAGCAAAUGUAGAUAGGAAGACAACUGAGCGGUUAAUAGAGUGGACAAUGGCGAUGCGCUAAAGGAGCCUCGUUUUGGCCAAUUGGCGGCGACGGCCGCUGCAACGAAGUCUAAGGCCUGA